GAGGUCAAUCGUGGAUCAGGGAAAGCGAAGGCAGGAGCGUGAGGUGAACUGAAUUUCAGUCCUUUUUGUCCCCAGGUCAUUUACAGCUAUGCAGUAAUACUCUCCAGCAUCAGAAGACUGAAUGGAGCUGAAGAUGAGCUGGGAGUCUUUACUGAGAGGUUUCUGAUCAUUCUGCUUGUACCAGGUGUAACUAGCUGCUGGGUUAGCAUCACUGCUACAGGUCAGAGUCACAGAGCUGCCCUCCACUAUCUCACCCGAGAGAGUCACUGACACAGAGGGGCGUAUUGGAGCAUCUGGAGGAAGAAAAAAAAAACCC
ensembl:lncRNA